rfam:Ixodes scapularis strain Wikel colony gcontig_1108378528796, whole genome shotgun sequence.
CCCUGGUUAGCUCAGUUGUUAGAGCGCUCCACUGGAAAUGGAGAGGUCACUGGUUCGGUACCAGGACCAUGCA